rnacentral:rRNA from 1 species
UACGGGGGGGGUAAGCGUUGUUCGGAAUUACUGGGCGUAAAGGGCGCGUAGGCGGCCCCUUUUGUCGCGUGUGAAAGCCCCGGGCUCAACCUGGGAGGUGCGCGCGAAACGGGGGGGCUUGAGUUCGGGAGAGGAGCGUGGAAUUCCCAGUGUAGAGGUGAAAUUCGUAGAUAUUGGGAAGAACACCGGUGGCGAAGGCGGCGCUCUGGACCGAGACUGACGCUGAGGCGCGAAAGCGUGGGGAGCAAACAGG